rnacentral:rRNA from 1 species
GAUGAACGCUGGCGGCGUGCCUAAUACAUGCAAGUCGAGCGAACGGACGAGAAGCUUGCUUCUCUGAUGUUAGCGGCGGACGGGUGAGUAACACGUGGAUAACCUACCUAUAAGACUGGGAUAACUUCGGGAAACCGGAGCUAAUACCGGAUGAUAUUUUGAACCGCAUGGUUCAAAAGUGAAAGACGGUUUUGCUGUCCCUUAUAGAUGGAUCCGCGCUGCAUUAGCUAGUUGGUAAGGUAACGGCUUACCAAGGCAACGAUGCAUAGCCGACCUGAGAGGGUGAUCGGCCACACUGGAACUGAGACACGGUCCAGACUCCUACGGGAGGCAGCAGUAGGGAAUCUUCCGCAAUGGGCGAAAGCCUGACGGAGCAACGCCGCGUGAGUGAUGAAGGUCUUCGGAUCGUAAAACUCUGUUAUUAGGGAAGAACAUAUGUGUAAGUAACUGUGCACAUCUUGACGGUACCUAAUCAGAAAGCCACGGCUAACUACGUG